rfam:Triticum aestivum genome assembly, contig: Triticum_aestivum_CS42_TGACv1_scaffold_320877_4BL
UUAUUACUCCCUCCGUCCGAAAAUUCUUCUCACCAAAAUGGAUAAAAAGAGAUGUAUCUAGAACUAAAAUACGUCUAGAUACAUCUCCUUUUAUCCAUUUUGGUGAUAUGUAUUUUCGGAUGGAGGGAGUACAAA